UCGAAGUGCCCGGAGAACUUUCCGCUCCAGCGCCAGGAAACAUGCAAUUUUUGCUCCUUCUCUGUGUCGCUGUAGCGGCUUGGGAAGGUGCCCGGUCCCAGAUCACCUUGGUGGAGUCCGGAGGGGAUGUGAAGAAGCCCGGAGACUCUCUGCGCCUCUCCUGCAAAGCCUCCGGCUUCACCUUCAGCAGCUACUACAUGGGCUGGGUCCGGCAGGCUCCCGGGAAUGGCCUGGAGUGGGUCGCCAGCAUUUACAGCUCGAGCAUAUAUUACAACGACGCGGUCAAAGGGCGAUUCACCAUCUCCACAGAUAACUCCAACAACCUGCUGCACCUGCAAAUGACCGGCCUGAAGCCCGAGGACACCGCCCGCUAUUACUGUGCGAGACACACAGCGAGGGGAAUCCCGACAGGCUGAUACAAAAACUCCAGCGGCAGAAUCGCUCCCCUGCGCCGCGCUCCACGGGGAAUCCU